ensembl:lncRNA
GCAAACUGUCCUUCCUUGACCUAAAUAAACAUACCCGCCUCCCCACCCCUUUGUCAUAACAUCCAUUGGGUGGAGCCUGCAUAUCCAGACACGCUCAUAAUGGGAAGGAAACCUGCCCCCCAGCACCAGUACUUGGGUGGGAAGCAAGAGACCCAGUGCUUCUCCUCUGGGAGGAGUUUCAACAGGUGAAAGUGAAGUCGCUCAGUCGUGUCCGACUCUUUGUGACCCCAUGGACUGCAGCCUACCGGGCUCCUCCAUCCAUGGGAUUUUCCAGGCAGACGCUGUACUGUCUGAGCCACCAGGGAAGUCCUUGAACAGCACCGGGCACAACGUCUAGAGCGCCCCCCGGAUGUUUGUGGAGUGAAUCGAUCCGUUAAAAAAAGAGGCAGAGUGAAGGGAAGGAAGUGAAGAGGGAAGGAAGGAAGAAAGACCUCCGGGCGCACCAUCGGAUCUUACUGGAACAGGAAACGGUCCCUGCGGAAGCCAGCAGCUCACUUGCUCUGGGCAGGAAUGGGAGCUGGGCAGCUAGGUUGGCUGGCUCUCUCCUGCUGAUCACAAGCUCCGGCAGGCAAUUAUAUACGUC